AUGGAUCCUUAUAUACAAAACAUACUUGGCCAACUAAGGCCCUGCAGUCCAAUGUCCGAUAUAUUAUCGUCAGCUGAGGAGGUGUUUGGCAAGGGUGUGACCGUUGUUUUUGGGACAAUGUUCAAGCAGGAGGCCAUGAAUCUGUCUAGUCUCGCCAUGGGGGGUGAGUUUAUCUCAUUGCUCCUUCCUGGUGUAAAGCCGAUCACUGAGGUUUAUGUCUAUCAAACCGAGCUCUUGAACCCAAUGUUUGGAACAUCAACGUCCCUCUCCAGUCGUAAUCAGGAUUUGAUCUAUCAUGAAGUUUUAGCGCCACAUAAGAUCCACGGCAUGUUAUCUGUCGGUGCAGCGGCUUUGAGUUGUCGGAAAAAAAGCCAGGAGCUUAAGUAA
rnacentral:rRNA from 1 species